rfam:Triticum urartu cultivar G1812 contig1077023, whole genome shotgun sequence.
UAAAUACUCCAUUCGUCCUAAAAAACUUGUCCCAAACUUGUCUCUCAAAUGGAUGCAUCUAGCACUAAUUUGGUGCUAGAUAUAUUCAUUUGAGGGACAAGCUUUUUCAAACGGAGGGAGUAUAAG